rnacentral:rRNA from 1 species
UACGGAGGGGGCUAGCGUUGUUCGGAAUCACUGGGCGUAAAGCGCACGUAGGCGGCUUACUAAGUCAGGGGUGAAAUCCUGGAGCUCAACCCCAGAACUGCCUUUGAUACUGGUGAGCUUGAGUCCGGGAAGAGGUGAGUGGAACUGCGAGUGUAGAGGUGAAAUUCGUAGAUAUUCGCAAGAACACCAGUGGCGAAGGCAGCCUCCUGGGCCAGCACUGACGCUCAUGCACGAAAGCGUGGGGAGCAAACAGG